rnacentral:rRNA from 1 species
UACGUAGGGUGCGAGCGUUAAUCGGAAUUACUGGGCGUAAAGAGUGCGUAGGCGGUUCGUUAUGUCUGUUGUGAAAGCCCCGGGCUCAACCUGGGAAUGGCAAUGGAUACUGGCAGGCUAGAGUGGCGGUAGAGGGUAGUGGAAUUCCCGGUGUAAGCGGUGAAAUGCGUAGAGAUCGGGAGGAACACCAGUGGCGAAGGCGGCUACCUGGACCAGCACUGACACUGAGGCACGAAAGCGUGGGGAGCAAACAGG